rnacentral:lncRNA from 13 species
AUGUGCCACCAUACCCAGCCUUGUUUGAUUUUAACUACUUCCUCUGGUGGCCUUCUUUGGCCCCAAGUCUUGAAAACGGACUUUCACUGUGUUGCCCAGACUGGAGUGCAGUGGCUAUUGACAGUGUCUCACUCAUCACCAGGUGCCAGGCUAGAGUGCAGUGGCGUGACCUCGGCUCACUGCAACCUUCGCCUCCCGGAUUCAAGCAAUUCUCCUGCCUCAGCCUCCCGAGUACCUGGACCACUGACUCUUAAUCUCUACUGCAAAUUCCAGGGAUAGAUAAUCUAAUGGCCUCAUUUGCAACUAGUAUAUAUAUAUACACACAUUCUCAAGGACAUGACUCCUGAAACUCUCCCCUCCCUCUCUUGCAUCUCAAUUUCCUAAAUCAUUCAUGUCAUUUUGUUUGUCAGCAAACAUGUUCUAGUAUCUUCCAACUUAAAGCAAGUAACGAACUACCCUUGGCCCCAUGCCUCUUUCCAUUUAACACCCAAUCUCUCUGCUCCUUUUUGUUGGCCUCAAACAUUUCAAGAGAAUUGUCUGUAUUGCUGUCUUCAUUUCCUCAUCCUUCCUUCUCUUCUCAGCCUUUCUAGUUGGAUUUGCAUUCUCCCAGUUCCACUAAAAUUUCUCUGGUUAAGAUCACAAUGACCUCCAUCUGCCACAUCUAUAUCCUCCUCUAACCCAGCCUUUCAGAAAUAUCCCAUAUGGUUGGCUAUUCCUUUCUUGAAGCAUUCUUUUCUCUUGGACUUGAGGAUACCCUGUAUACCAGAUGCUCUGGUGUGCUACCCAGAUCCCUGCUGCAGGACUAAGGAACUCAUUGCUCUGGCUGCCAGUAAUGUUGGUAGCUGACAGCUCAGGGCUAAGUCUAUCUCCAGAAAUUGCCCUCAGAUGGAGGAAGGUGACUUGACUAAACUUAUGCCCCCAUUGCAAGGAUAGCCUGCAUCCAAGGACUGGUUGGUACCGAGGUACGAGGUCCAGCUUCCCCAUCUCAGUUUGGGACCAUUGUAAAGGAUCAUGCCAGUUCCAGAGCUGCCUGUUGGGCAGGCUGAGGCUCCACUAUAAAGGGAUCACAUUUCAAGCCUCUCUCUCUGCCCAUCCUGCUCCCCUUACUUCCUUAUAGAUGCUGCUUCUGUGGCCUUCCCAAAUCUCUCUCUCAAACUUUGUUUCCAGGAACCUGCCCUAAGAUGCUGAAGUCUCCUGGGUUUCCUGCAGCCUCGUUUUUUGUUACCUGAAUGUCUCACAAGUUUAUUUAACUGAUUUUUUUUUUCUCUCUCAACAACCU